GACGAACGCUGGCGGCGUGCUUAACACAUGCAAGUCGAACGGAAAGGCCCUGGUUUCGAGGGGUGCUCGAGUGGCGAACGGGUGAGUAACACGUGAGUAACCUGCCCUGGACUUUGGGAUAACUUCAGGAAACUGGGGCUAAUACCGGAUAGGAGCUCCGGCUGCAUGGUGGGGGUUGGAAAGUUUCGGCGGUGGGGGAUGGACUCGCGGCUUAUCAGAUUGUUGGUGGGGUAGUGGCUUACCAAGGCUUUGACGGGUAGCCGGCCUGAGAGGGUGUCCGGCCACAUUGGGACUGAGAUACGGCCCAGACUCCUACGGGAGGCAGCAGUGGGGAAUAUUGCACAAUGGGCGGAAGCCUGAUGCAGCAACGCCGCGUGGGGGAUGACGGCCUUCGGGUUGUAAACCGCUUUCGCCUGUGACGAAGCGUGAGUGACGGUAAUGGGUAAAGAAGCACCGGCUAACUACGUG
rnacentral:rRNA from 1 species